UGGCGGACGGGUGAGUAGUGUCUGGGAAACUGCCUGAUGGAGGGGGAUAACUACUGGAAACGGUAGCUAAUACCGCAUAACGUCGCAAGACCAAAGAGGGGGACCUUCGGGCCUCUUGCCAUCGGAUGUGCCCAGAUGGGAUUAGCUAGUAGGUGGGGUAACGGCUCACCUAGGCGACGAUCCCUAGCUGGUCUGAGAGGAUGACCAGCCACACUGGAACUGAGACACGGUCCAGACUCCUACGGGAGGCAGCAUG
rnacentral:rRNA from 1 species